rnacentral:rRNA from 1 species
CUACGGUGAAUACGUUCCCGGACCUUGCACACACCGCCCGUCAAGCCAUGGAAGCUGGGUGUACCUAAAGUCGGUAACCGUAAGGAGCCGCCUAGGGUAAACUAGUAACUGGGGCU